CGGAAAUGGGGGAAACCCUGAUCCAGCAAUGCCGCGUGUGUGAAGAAGGCCUUCGGGUUGUAAAGCACUUUUGUCCGGAAAGAAAACUUCUGCCCUAAUACGGUGGGAGGAUGACGGUACCGGAAGAAUAAGCACCGGCUAACUACGUGCCAGCAGCCGCGGUAAUACGUAGGGUGCGAGCGUUAAUCGGAAUUACUGGGCGUAAAGCGUGCGCAGCGGUUCGUUAAGACAGAUGUGAAAUCCCCGGGCUUAACCUGGGAACUGCAUUUGUGACUGGCGAGCUAGAGUAUGGCAGAGGGGGGUAGAAUUCCACGUGUAGCAGUGAAAUGCGUAGAGAUGUGGAGGAAUACCGAUGGCGAAGGCAGCCCCCUGGGCCAAUACUGACGCUCAUGCACGAAAGCGUGGGGAGCAAACAGGAUUAGAUACCCUGGUAGUCCACGCCCUAAACGAUGUCACUAGUUGUUGGGUCUUCUUGACUUAGUAACGUAGCUACGCGUGAAGUUACCGCCUGGGGAGUACGGUCGCAAGAUUAAAACUCAAAGGAAUUGCGGGGACCGCACAACGGUGGAUGAUGUGGAUUAAUUCAUGCAACGCGAAAACCUACCUACCCUUGACUGGUCGGAUCCCUGUGAAAGGUGGGGGUCUCAAAGAGAACCGAUACACAGGUGCUGCAUGGCUGUCGUCAGCUCGUUGUAG
rnacentral:rRNA from 1 species